AUCAUCAAAUACAUCCAUCCAUCAUCGCACCUGCAAGCAUCAUCUUCGAGCAGAUCGAACGAACCCCAAGACACAACCGGCCGUCGACUACCGCAUCUCGCGUUCGCGAUCCAAACAAUGGCGCAUCACUUCCUCGGCAACAAGCACCAUGGAGGAGAGGCGGCGAAGGUGACCGACUGGCGCAAGGAGGAGAAGCACCACAAGCACAUGGAGCAGCUCGGCCAGCUCGGCGCCAUCACUGCAGGAGCCUACGCUAUGCACGAGAAGCACAAGGCGAAGAAGCAAGGACCCCGAGCACGCGCACUCGCACAAGAUCAAGGAAGGGGUCGCCGCUGCAGCCGCCGUGGGCAGCGCCGGCUUUGCCUUCCACGAGCACCACCAGAAGAAAGACGCCAAGAAGCACCGCCACCAUGGACACCACCACUAGCUAGUUACUGACGGCUUCCAUUUUCAUUUGCAGGGCGCGCCUGGCAAUCUCGUUCAUACAUAUGCACCGACCGUCGAUAUAAUUAUCUAGCACUUUUAGUAUACAAAUAAAUGAGGUCUCCAAUAUGUAUGCAUAUAUCAUCGUAACGUCGUCAUAGUAUAUAUUACCUCAUUAUGUUUACUAUGUGUGUUGAACACCAUAUAUGAUAUCUGUGAAGGUCAACGGUCCGGUUAUAGGGUCCGAAUUGUC